GUAUUAUUAGAUAUUAAGGAUAUCUCGAACGAUCUUUUAGUUUUAUUCUGUCAAGUGUUUGACAAGUGACAGAUAGUUUUGCCGCGGUUUUGGUAAAAUGUGACAUUGACAGUUAGAUUACGACUGAGAGAAAAAAACUCAAGCGAUUGAAGGAAGGAUUUGUAUUGUUUUAAUUGUAAAAACUCAAAGAUAAAUAAACUAUUGUAAACUAAUUCAGUAUUUUAGUGAGACAAUCUAAUAUCGGAAGUGGCAAAGAACUGAAGAAAUAUCAAAGAACAAAAAAACAGGAAAACUGGGACAGGCCAUCAUGUUCAGAGUUCAUGUUGACAGAGCAAACUGAGUGCUAUAGUGUCUAACAAAUCUUGAAUCCUGAGUAUUACAUAUAUGAAAACAUUUUACAGCAUGAAAUCAUAGCUAUAAUGGCAUAUACCCAUGUGAACAACAAUGCUCAUAUGCUAACCUUAAAACAUGCAAAGAAAGAUACGAAAGUUUGGUUAUUUAAUAUUGAGUAAAGCUUCAUGUUAGAAUUCUAAGAUGAAAUUGCAGGGUGAACAAGAUGGGGGUUGGCAUACCCACAAAGGCCUAAUUGUUGAAGAAUUAUUGCACUCAAAUAUGCACUAUGGCCGUGUGUAAAAGGUUUGGAGGUAUAAAAAUAUAUAAUCACAAGAUGAAGUGAGGUAAGGUCAAAUUAUAGAAUGUUUCAUUGGCAUUCACAUAAUUUACAAAAUCUCCAAAUGUCUUCACAAAUGGGUACUGCAAGUGCGUGAUGGGUGUCCUCCCCGAACUGGAUGGUGCAAGGGAUUCUUUACAGUAAAAGCAAUCUGCGGUGAGAGAUGACUGCAGGUAUUAUGUCAAAAGUUAAGGGGAUGCUGUAUUUGCUGCUAUAACAAAAGUUAAGUAUACUCCACACAUGUUCCUUGUUUCAACAAGUUGAAGUAUUUGAAAGUUUCAUGCAAGCAAAUUUGUUGAAAUCUGACAAUGUCAUGAAAUGGUAAUAAAUUAUUGGCACUAGAUAAACACAAGUGCUGUGAUAUACAUGCAUCCGCUUCAAAAACUGCUAGUGUAUAAAUAAAAUACUUAUAAUAAUAAGUGGUACAAGACAUAUUUUUAAUUACAAGAGUUAAAAUAAAAUAAAUUAUUGGUAUAUAACAUUCUGUAUGGAGAAUUAACAUUAAAAGAUCAUAAUCAUAAUCUUUUUUUUUGUUUGUGAGAAAUGCAUUGACAUAAAUAUACUAGACAGGCUAUCGAGAACAAAUUGUGUCCGCCAUUUUCGGCGUUUGACAUCUGUCACUAAGCUAAAGAAUAAGGAUAGCUGUGUAGCUAGCCAGAGGCGAAACUGUUAUGACAACUGUUCAUUUUCUGUCUACAUAUGCAUUGUAAAGAAUCUAGAUAAAAUGUAUUGUAUUUCCUUAUAAGUGUAUUUAAAUUGUUUUACGUAUGUGAUACGGACGACAUUAAGAUUUAUAAAAAUGGUCAUAAAGCUUUGAACUUUCUAUUUGACUCUCGUACUCGUAGCAAUUUUGAUCAAAUCGCACUUAUAGCAUAAUAUACUCUUUAAAUAUGAGAAGAGAAGAAACUACAAAAAAAAUUACGAGAUAAAGAGUAAUAUAUCAUUAUUGGUGUAGGUAUAUAAUUAUUAUUUUGCAAAGAAUAAGGUAAGUAAUCAUUAGUACCUAUGUAUUACAUCUGCGAGAUGUAAUUUAUGCGCCACAGAAAAUGGCGUACCACCGUGAGUGUUUAAAGUGACGUUUGAAAAUAAUCUAAAUGAGCUUAAAACAAGAGCUUUUCGCAUUGAAUCUUUAUUAUAUUGCUUUAAUUACGUUUCUUGAUAUUAUUAGAAUGCAUUUUCAUAACGCACAAAGGCAUUUUCAGUUUAUUUAAAAAAAAAAUAACUUUUUUUUUUUGUCACAUGCGUGUAUCACGCCUGUAGUCGGAGUCGUACUAAACCUAAUGAAGUGCCGACACUUCAUUGAGGUGUGGAAACAUUUUGUUAGAGAUGCCGACUCUAGUACAAUGACUUAAUGGAGAAAUGGGUUACAUUGCCGAUAAUUACUAUUGUAACUAAGAUAGCUUGCUAUAGCUCAUACAGUAUUGGAUCUACAACUUAAGUCAAAAUUUUGAUCAUAUGUUUAUUGACAUUAUUUAAUUAAUACAAGACCUAUUUUUAAUAUGAGAGUUUGUGACUUGUCUUGUAAGUUUGCAUUUUAAUGCAGUCAAUGAAAUUGAAGCCAUUAUCAUUUUUACAAUGGAGAAAUGGGUUACAUUGCCGGUAAUUACUAUUGUGACUAAGAUAGCUUGCUAUAGCUCAUACAGUAUUGGAUCUACAACUUAAGUCAAAAUUUUGAUCAUAUGUUUAUUGACAUUAUUUAACUAAUAUAAGACCUAUUUUUAAUAUGAGAGUUUGUGACUUGUCUUGUAAGUUUGCAUUUUAAUGCAGUCAAUGAAAUUGAAGCCAUUAUCAUUUUUACAAUGGAGAAAUGGGUUACAUUGCCGGUAAUUACUAUUGUGACUAAGAUAGCUUGCUAUAGCUCAUACAGUAUUGGAUCUACAAUUUAAGUCAAUAUUUUGAUCACAUAUUUAUUGACAUAAUUUAACUAAUAUAAAACCUAUUUUUAAUAUGAGACUUUGUGUCUUGUUUUGUAAGUUUGCAUUUUGAUGCAUGUCAAUGAAAUUGAAGCCAUUAUCAUUUUUACAAGAUAAUGUCCCACUGCUGGGCACAGGCCUCCUCAGUUCAUAUUUAAGUAAUUCGUUUUGAUCAAACAUUUAGUAAAAAGUAUUUUGAUAAAUUAUUAGAAAAUAUUUAGUAAGCAAAGAUAGUUCAACCGUAAUUUCAAAUGUUGAAUGAAACAUGCUAUGUUAAGCCGAACACAGAUAUUGUCCUGAGUUAUGAUUGCAGAAUGUACUGGCAAGAGUCUGCACGUCUGAGCGACAGUGCGAGUCUGGACUUCUAACGCGAGGCUACACGUCUGAAUGGCGGUACGAGUCUGUACCGCUAAACGGCUGUGCGAGACUGGACGCCGGAGCGGUGCACGGCCGUCGGAGCAAUUGGAGCCGCUGAGCAUAAAUCGGCUACGUCACGAGACCCCUGAUGCGUUUUGGAAGGCGCACGAGGCGCAGAGGUUCUGCGGUGCUGCUUGCUGACAUUCGGGGGCGAGGGCUUUUCUUCUGAAGGCUGAACUGAUAACCGAUUGUGGGGAUUGCUCGAGCGCAGUCCUAUGUUCGAUGUCGCAGAUGGUCAGAUCACUACUGGCGUGACCAUAACUGUGAGAUGAGCAUUGCCGCCAUUGCCAACGUCGUGAUAUGGUAGAUUAUGUGCCUAAGGUAGACCUGUUUCCUGUUAUAUAUAUAUUAGGUCGAUCCGUAACUGAAUGAUGUAUUGAUGACUGCACUAUUGAAGCAGAUGCUGCAUUUGCCCUAUUUACUGAACCUCAUGACUUAUGGAAAUAUAUGUAGAAUGUAUAUAGCUAUGUUUAUAGAUAUGUUUAAACCUGUAACAUACUUAGACUUUUUUUUUUUAUGUAAUUGUUCUCAUAUAAGCGAUUUGGUGUACACUGUAAGUUUGUAUUGAAAAUGAAAUAAAUAAAUGUAUAAAGUAGGUACACAAAAUUCAGAUAUUUAUAGAAUUACAGGUGGAAAUAGGGCAGUUAACAAAAUAAUAGGGCAUAAGACCGACACAAGGAAAAUGCAAAAAUGUCCAGGUUAUAGAUUGUAUACAGUCAUGCAAAUUUAAAGUAUAGCAUUAUAAUGAUUGAUAUGUUGAUGAUUCAGGUUUAGCAGAUUAUUCAAAAUAUUUUUUGACUUUUAGAUGAUACAAUAUGAUAUGUUGAUUGAUCUGAACAAAGUAACCGAUAGUGAGAAUAGUUAGUGAAAAUAUAAUUGUAUGCCUGAAAAGAAGGCCAUUCCAUCUAACCUAAGAAACUUGAUGUACUUAGUAAAGAAAAUGAAAGUCAAAGAAAAUGAUUUUAGUUUAUGAAAACGUCAUGUUUAUUGUUGUCAAAAGACAUUCAAGUAUGAAAAGAUUUAGUGUUGCCUUUUUUUGCUGUUAUUUGUUGGUAAAUAUGGAUAAACUGAGUGAACCGGUUCACCCGUCACACUAAAGACUGGUGCGGUUUGGAUUUAAAUGUCACAUCAAGAGAAUAUCGUUAAUGUUGCAGGCUGAGUGACCAGGUUCACGGCUACUCUAGAGAUUACUGUGGCUUAGAAUAAAAUGUCGCACCAGGUGAAUAUUGUUAAUGUUGUAGACUGAGUGACCAGGGUCACAGCUACACUAGAGAUUACUGUGGUUUAGAAUAAAAUGUCGCACCAGGUGAAUAUUGUUAAUGUUGUAGACUGAGUGACCAGGGUCACGGCUACACUAGAGAUUACUGUGGUUUAGAAUAAAAUGUCGCACCAGGUGAAUAUUGUGAAUGUUGUAGACUGAGUGACCAGGGUCACGGCUACACUAGAGAUUACUGUGGUUUAGAAUAAAAUGUCGCAGCAGGUGAAUAUUGUUAAUGUUGCAGACUGAGUGACCAAGUCCACGGCUACACUAGAGACUAAUGUGGUUUAGAGUGAAAUGUCACACCAGGUGAAUAUUGUUAAUGUUGUAGACUGGGUGACCAGGCUCAUGGUUACGGUAGAGACUAAUGUGGUUUAGAAUGAAAUGUCACAUUAGGUGAAUAUUGUUGAUGUUUUAGACUGAGUGACCAGGUUCACACGACUGCACUAGCGACUAGUGUUGUGCGGAGUGAAAUGGAAAUGUCACCUCAGAUGAAUAUUGUUGAUGUUUUAGAUUGAGUGAUCAGGUUCACACGGCUGCACUAGUGACUAGUGUGGUGCGGAGUGAAAUGGAAAUGUCACCUCAGAUGAAUAUUGUUGAUGUUUUAGACUGAGUGACCAGGUUCACACGGCUACUCUAGUGACUUGAGUGGUGCGGAGUGAAAUGGAAAAUGUCACCUCAGAUGAAUAUUGUUGAUGUUUUAGACUGAGUGAUCAGGUUCAUACAGCCGCAUUAGUGACUGGUGUGGUGUGGAGUGAAAUGCCAUCUCAGGUGGAUAUUGUUAAUGUUUUGGAUUGACAAAGGGGAUAUACACGGCCGCAUAUUAGAGACCAGUGUAUUGAAGGGUGAAAUGUUACAAAAUUUUGCGUAAAUAAGGUUAAUUAAACAAAUUCAUGAUGGCACAUUAGAGACUAAUGUAUGAACUUAUGUAUACUCGUGUGGUUCAUUGAAAAACAAGGUUUUAUACUGUUCAGUACCUGCUAGAUUGAGUUUGAGGACAAACUUCUAGAUUAUCAGGUUGGCCGAAUAUUAGAUAUUAAGGAUAUCUCGAACGAUCUUUUAGUUUUAUUCUGUCAAGUGUUUGACAAGUGACAGAUAGUUUUGCCGCGGUUUUGGUAAAAUGUGACAUUGACAGUUAGAUUACGACUGAGAGAAAAAAACUCAAGCGAUUGAAGGAAGGAUUUGUAUUGUUUUAAUUGUAAAAACUCAAAGAUAAAUAAACUAUUGUAAACUAA